GGAGUAUAGGUCAAACGGUUAAGAUGUCUCCCUGUCACGGAGAACGGAGUGGGUUCGACUCCCAUAUAUUCCG
rnacentral:tRNA from 1 species